GCUCCUACCGAUUGAAUG
rnacentral:siRNA from 1 species